GACAGAGGGUGCAAACGUUGUUCGGAAUUACUGGGCGUAAAGCGCGUGUAGGCGGCUAUGCAAGUCGGGUGUGAAAUCCCGGGGCUCAACCCCGGAACUGCACUCGAUACUGCCGUGCUCGAGUACUGGAGAGGAGACUGGAAUUUACGGUGUAGCAGUGAAAUGCGUAGAUAUCGUAAGGAAGACCGGUGGCGAAGGCUAGUCUCUGGACAGUUACUGACACUGAGGCACGAAGGCCAGGGGAGCAAACGGG
rnacentral:rRNA from 1 species